rnacentral:tRNA from 1 species
GGUGAAGUGCCCGAGCGGCCAAAGGGGGCGGACUGUAAAUCCGCUGGCAGAUUGCCUUCAUAGGUUCGAAUCCUUUCUUCACCACCA